AAUGCUGACAUAAGUAACGAUAAAGCGGGUGAAAAGCCCGCUCGCCGGAAGACCAAGGGUUCCUGUCCAACGUUAAUCGGGGCAGGGUGAGUCGACCCCUAAGGCGAGGCCGAAAGGCGUAGUCGAUGGGAAACAGGUUAAUAUUCCUGUACUUGGUGUUACUGCGAAGGGGGGACGGAGAAGGCUAUGUUGGCCGGGCGACGGUUGUCCCGGUUUAAGCGUGUAGGCUGGUUUUCCAGGCAAAUCCGGAAAAUCAAGGCUGAGGCGUGAUGACGAGGCACUACGGUGCUGAAGCAACAAAUGCCCUGCUUCCAGGAAAAGCCUCUAAGCAUCAGGUAACAUCAAAUCGUACCCCAAACCGACACAGGUGGUCAGGUAGAGAAUACCAAGGCGCUUGAGAGAACUCGGGUGAAGGAACUAGGCAAAAUGGUGCCGUAACUUCGGGAGAAGGCACGCUGAUAUGUAGGUGAAGCGACUUGCUCGUGGAGCUGAAAUCAGUCGAAGAUACCAGCUGGCUGCAACUGUUUAUUAAAAACACAGCACUGUGCAAACACGAAAGUGGACGUAUACGGUGUGACGCCUGCCCGGUGCCGGAAGGUUAAUUGAUGGGGUCAGCGCAAGCGAAGCUCUUGAUCGAAGCCCCGGUAAACGGCGGCCGUAACUAUAACGGUCCUAAGGUAGCGAAAUUCCUUGUCGGGUAAGUUCCGACCUGCACGAAUGGCGUAAUGAUGGCCAGGCUGUCUCCACCCGAGACUCAGUGAAAUUGAACUCGCUGUGAAGAUGCAGUGUACCCGCGGCAAGACGGAAAGACCCCGUGAACCUUUACUAUAGCUUGACACUGAACAUUGAGCCUUGAUGUGUAGGAUAGGUGGGAGGCUUAGAAGUGUGGACGCCAGUCUGCAUGGAGCCGACCUUGAAAUACCACCCUUUAAUGUUUGAUGUUCUAACGUUGACCCGUGAUCCGGGUUGCGGACAGUGUCUGGUGGGUAGUUUGACUGGGGCGGUCUCCUCCUAAAGAGUAACGGAGGAGCACGAAGGUUGGCUAAUCCUGGUCGGACAUCAGGAGGUUAGUGCAAUGGCAUAAGCCAGCUUGACUGCGAGCGUGACGGCGCGAGCAGGUGCGAAAGCAGGUCAUAGUGAUCCGGUGGUUCUGAAUGGAAGGGCCAUCGCUCAACGGAUAAAAGGUACUCCGGGGAUAACAGGCUGAUACCGCCCAAGAGUUCAUAUCGACGGCGGUGUUUGGCACCUCGAUGUCGGCUCAUCACAUCCUGGGGCUGAAGUAGGUCCCAAGGGUAUGGCUGUUCGCCAUUUAAAGUGGUACGCGAGCUGGGUUUAGAACGUCGUGAGACAGUUCGGUCCCUAUCUGCCGUGGGC
rnacentral:rRNA from 1 species